UCAAGGGCAUUCACCUCUACGACGGGAUCAAUGGGAAAACUCGACUAUCCGGCUUCAGCCUAUCCCACCCUUCCCAGAGAGAAGAUCUUUUUAGAAUUUAACAAUAGUGUCGCAACUUUCAAUUUCUCCUCCAACCUUACCCCCUUUACCACUACACUAUUAAUCUUAUUAUUUCUCGCCCAAACACUAGCUAUCCUGUGGAAAAGCUUUGUCCUCCUAUUUCUCUCCUUAAGCCAUGUGGCUCUAGAUCACUGCCUCCAUUUGAUUUCCUCUUCUUUUAGGCAAUUUUUUUACUCAAGCGAAAGAGAAUUCUUCUUAGCUUUCUCCUCCUUCAAGAGCUCUAUCCGCUCUUCCUUGAGAUCAAGUGCCCGAAUUUCACUGAGAUUAUCUUCCAAUUCCACAUCCUAGCCUCCAAGUAGCAAGCACCUCCUUUCUCCACCUAUUGAGUUUGCCUCUGGGAAGCUUUAAUCUUUGGAAUAAUACAAAUCUGGGAUGACCUUCCACCACGAAUGAGGUCUGCCACUCCCUCAUCAACUUGGUGAAGCCAUCCAUUUUAAGCCACAAUAACUUAAAUCUAAACGGCCUAAGGCCCCAAUCAUCCUCUUCUACCUCCAACAAAAGCGGGCAAUGGUUAGAAGUAGGACUCAGAAGGCCAUGCUGCCUCACGAGGGGGAACUUGUCCACCCAACACAGGGACACCAAGAACCUCUAUAGCUUUGACCUAACAUUCUUUUCUUGCCCAUUGGACCAAGUAAACCUUACAUCUCCGAUCAGCAAAUCAACGAGCUCAUUCCUUUGCACCAACUCGGAGAAUUCCCUUAUGCUAUGGGUGACGCAACCCCAUAGAUUUUUUGAAGGAGAACCUGAUGACAUUAAAGUCUUCUCCUAUGCCACCACAAAAGCCCCCAUCUCCUACCACCAGCAUUCAACUCUUCCCAUAGAAGACCCCUUUGACUUGGAAUGUUCGGGCCAUACACUAUUGUGAAAACCCACCGAAACCCCAAGGCCACAUCCUUGAAAAGGACCGAGACAAAGAACUAGCUGCACCACCAACCAUCCCUCACCCAGACAUUGGUGUUCCAGAUCACUGGCAUACCACACCUUUCACAUCGACAACAUUCAACACCACCCAAAUAUUUCAUUCUCACACCCCAUAGAUCGUCAACAAUCUUCUGAUUCAUGGGAUGCAUCUUAGCCUCUUACAACGUAACGAUGUGUGCCUUAUAAUGCCUGCACACAUCCCUAAUUUGUGCUAUUUUCUGAGGGUAGCCUAACCCCCUUAUAUUCCAUCUUAUAAUCUUCACCAACCACCCUCUCUUCUCUCUCUCCUUUUCCUCACUUCUAGAUGUGGAUCCUACCUUGUAGUUAAUUGACUGACAAGGCCUUUCAGGUCCCUGCUCCCUUUUGUUACCUUGAGACUUUCGGUCUGUUUGGAAGCCCGGGCCUUCUAGUAACCCCUCUCUUCAACGAACUUUAACAGAGCUAAAUAAUCUUCCUCACAAUCCCCAAAUGUCACCCCAAUCAGCCUCCCACAUGCCCCACUGCAUCCCUUACCCAGCGCAUACCUUUUGCCAUUGGAAUGUCACUCCCCUCCCUCUGGUUCAGAAGCCAUAUGUUUCACCUAUUGAAUGAGAUGUGGGAGCUUUUACUUCAAUCCUGUAAGCAUUUCAUAUUCUCCCUAUCCAUUAUGAGAAAAAUGAUAUUGUUUUUUGUAAGGUUAAAUGGUUAUGCUAAGGAGGGAUGAGAAGGGUAUGCAAACUUCUACAGUUACCGACGGGGAUUUGUAAAGCUAACAUGAAAUUGAUGGGUUGCUGUUAUGAUGAUGGUGAUGCUAAUGACCAUAGAGUUCCCAUGAGCACUUUGGGCACACAUCUGAAUUAUUUUCUCCUUUUUGGGUGGGGAAUUGCUUCUUUUUUCUU